AACGAACGCUGGCGGCAUGCCUAACACAUGCAAGUCGAACGAGACCUUCGGGUCUAGUGGCGCACGGGUGCGUAACGCGUGGGAACCUGCCUUUAGGUUCGGAAUAACUCAGAGAAAUUUGAGCUAAUACCGGAUGAUGUCUUCGGACCAAAGAUUUAUCGCCUUUAGAUGGGCCCGCGUUGGAUUAGCUAGUUGGUGGGGUAAAGGCCUACCAAGGCGACGAUCCAUAGCUGGUCUGAGAGGAUGAUCAGCCACACUGGGACUGAGACACGGCCCAGACUCCUACGGGAGGCAACAGUGGGGAAUAUUGGACAAUGGGCGAAAGCCUGAUCCAGCAAUGCCGCGUGAGUGAUGAAGGCCUUAGGGUUGUAAAGCUCUUUUACCCGAGAUGAUAAUGACAGUAUCGGGAGAAUAAGCUCCGGCUAACUCCGUG
rnacentral:rRNA from 1 species